UCAGCGAGUGAAGGGCGUGGAGAGCUUG
rnacentral:sRNA from 1 species